UUAAACAAAAUGCAUUCGUUUAAAAUAGAGAAGAAAGAGAAACGAGAGAAAGAUAGAAAAAGAGAGAGAAAAAACAGAGUUUUAUAAAAGAAAAUGGAAAGAAGAAGAAGAAGAAUCAAAAGAUAAAAAUAAAUUCAAUUCGAACAGAUUUUUGGUGAACAAAAACUCUUCAUAAUCAGAAGAAAUUGGGAGAACGACAUCUCUGAGAAUGGUUUAAUGGAAAAAACAAAACAUGAGAACUUUUCUCACACUGUGGAACAAAGGGGUUCCAAACUCAUGAUUAUGCUUUUAUGGUCUUUGUCUUGUCCAUUUUGAUACUUUCUGAGCUGAUGAAAUUGUGGACACCGUGAUGACGCUCUUUCUUGAACUCCUCCGGCGGAUGAACCUGUCCCAAUUUGUUAGCUGAUGAGCUUUAGAUGAGUGAAUCAUUGUCUCAGAUGAGUUCCUGAAAUACAACGAAGACUUUUCAAAUACUCCAUCAUGGUUGUUAUGGUUAUGAAAUCGAUGAUCGAGAUAUAUUUCUUGUUAGCUGCGACGAAAGUGUUAUUAGAUGAUACAAGUUUGUUAACUGCAAGAAAAUAUUACAAAAGGUUACUAAUAAGUGUUGUUAACUGAUACAUAAUUUGUUAACCGAUACAUGGUUUGUUAA